GGAGUAUGGACCGUUCUCAGUUCCAUUGUGGCCGUACAACCUCUCAGUCCGGCUAUGCAUCAUCGCCUUGGUGGGCUUUUAUCCCGCCAACUAGCUAAUGCACCGCAGGCCCCUCUCUAGGUGAUAAAUCUUUAAAUAUAUCUCCAUGCGGAAAUCUAUACUAUCCAGUAUUAUCCUUCGUUUCCAAAGGUUAUCCUCGUCCUAAAGGUAGGUUACCUACGUAUUACUCACCCGUUCGCCAUGGGAAGCAAGCUCCCCAUUCGACUUGCAUGUAUUAGGCAUGCCGCCAGCGUUAAUC
rnacentral:rRNA from 1 species